CACUGUCUCGUGUGUCCUGUCGACGUUGCUGUAGAGGUCCUUGUUGAUGCGGACUUUGCAGUUGGAGUCCUUGUGGAUCUUGUCGUGGAGAUUGCCUUGAAAAGGGGGAUGCACUGUGGAAGGCCUCGCAGACGGCUCUGCUCUCCCUCAGGGACUCCUCCGCAGACUGCAGCGCCGCCACGGCCGCUCGAGUUCAGAGAUUGAGCAAAGCCUGCAUAUGUACUUUUGCUUCCAUGUGCUUCCACUUGACAAAGAGCCUGUGUUUUUCGCCCCAGCCAUCAAGGAGAGGUAGCUUUCAGGACCCCUUCAGACAGGUCCACUGGGAGACCUUUCCUACACGAAAUGGCAGUCAGUACUCUCAGUCCUUCCUGAGCAAUAACUGAAGAAAAAUGGAAGCUUGGAGCAUUGCUCAUCAUGACGGGCUGGCUAGGGCAAGUGGCAAG